rnacentral:rRNA from 1 species
UCGCCUCAACUCAUGGGAGACUACCCCCUAAAUUUAAGCAU